rnacentral:rRNA from 1 species
CGAACGAUGAACCGCUUUCGGGCGGGGAUUAGUGGCGAACGGGUGAGUAACACGUGGGCAAUCUGCCCUGCACUCUGGGACAAGCCCUGGAAACGGGGUCUAAUACCGGAUAUGACCGUCUGCCGCAUGGUGGAUGGUGUAAAGCUCCGGCGGUGCAGGAUGAGCCCGCGGCCUAUCAGCUUGUUGGUGAGGUAGUGGCUCACCAAGGCGACGACGGGUAGCCGGCCUGAGAGGGCGACCGGCCACACUGGGACUGAGACACGGCCCAGACUCCUACGGGAGGCAGCAGUGGGGAAUAUUGCACAAUGGGCGAAAGCCUGAUGCAGCGACGCCGCGUGAGGGAUGACGGCCUUCGGGUUGUAAACCUCUUUCAGCAGGGAAGAAGCGAAAGUGACGGUACCUGCAGAAGAAGCGCCGGCUAACUACGUGCCAGCAGCCGCGGUAAUACGUAGGGCGCAAGCGUUGUCCGGAAUUAUUGGGCGUAAAGAGCUCGUAGGCGGCUUGUCACGUCGGUUGUGAAAGCCCGGGGCUUAACCCCGGGUCUGCAGUCGAUACGGGCAGGCUAGAGUUCGGUAGGGGAGAUCGGAAUUCCUGGUGUAGCGGUGAAAUGCGCAGAUAUCAGGAGGAACACCGGUGGCGAAGGCGGAUCUCUGGGCCGAUACUGACGCUGAGGAGCGAAAGCGUG